rnacentral:rRNA from 1 species
AUUGAACGCUGGCGGCAGGCUUAACACAUGCAAGUCGAGCGGGGGAAGGUAGCUUGCUACCUAACCUGGCGGCGGACGGGUGAGUAAUGCUUAGGAAUCUGCCUAUUAGUGGGGGACAACAUUUCGAAAGGGAUGCUAAUACCGCAUACGCCCUAAGGGGGAAAGCAGGGGAUCUUCGGACCUUGCGCUAAUAGAUGAUCCUACGUCGGAUUAGCUAGUUGGUGGGGUAAAGGCCUACCAAGGCGACGAUCUGUAGCGGGUCUGAGAGGAUGAUCCGCCACACUGGGACUGAGACACGGCCCAGACUCCUACGGGAGGCAGCAGUGGGGAAUAUUGGACAAUGGGGGGAACCCUGAUCCAGCCAUGCCGCGUGUGUGAAGAAGGCCUUUUGGUUGUAAAGCACUUUAAGCGAGGAGGAGGCUACCGAGAUUAAUACUCUUGGAUAGUGGACGUUACUCGCAGAAUAAGCACCGGCUAACUCUGUGCCAGCCGCCGCCGUAAGAC